GUGUUAAAAGCUUCAAGUAAAUUAUUCUCAUCAAAGCUUUAUUUAAGUCCUCUUACAUGGAUCACGAUCCUGCAUGUCCUCAGGUUGAAGCCUGAAGUCAGCCUGGGCUCAUUUUAACAUUUUAAUGGAGGUUUUGUUUUCUGAGCUCUGUUCCAAAGCUUCAUUGGCCCUUUGAGAGGUCUCUGCUAUUGUUUUGUUCAAAGUGGCUAAAUCUUCCCUUAGGGGUUGCAAUGCUUUAGCCCAGUCUUGACCUAAUUCCAUCCUAAUUAAUGUGACAAGCUCCAGCGUGGCAUCUGUGAGUGCUUGUUACUCUGAUUCAUUCUUCUCUCCUCAAGGGGCCUUUGAAGCCAUUUUGAAUCUCACGAGGUUGUUGCUGUCGAAGCUUGAGAGGGAGGAUUUGUUAGGGAAAUCCAGGCCUCUAAGGUUCUUUUUUUAGCUCUGCAGCUGCUUUGAAGCAUGUCCCUUCAGAGGGUAUCUUUAGAAUUGCAAAAUGUUGAGGUAAGGUUCAAGUAGUGCUUUAUAUUUCUCCAGGGCGAGAGGGAGCUGCCAGCUAAGAUGCCAUCUUAAGCUGAUGACGUCAGCAUCCCCCAGCAGGAACCAUUCUGAUUAGAUCCCAGCUGCUGACCACCAGCCCACUCAUCUCUCACCUUCUACCACCACAUCAUCAACACAGCGCUUGAUCUGGAAGCAAAAGGCCAUCUGCACGUUGGGGAAGGGAUGUUUAUGAGGAAGCUGGAGGUCCCAGCGCUGGCACUCUAUGCCGGACUCAGUGUGAUCCACAGAGCCCCGAUAGUCCUCGCCAUUGCAUGACAUACAGACGGCUGCAAAGUUUGGUACCGGACAUUGGGAUCCAUUGUAUAGCACCAGGGACCUUGCAGUUCUCCAUCUGGAUUCCGGCAAUAAUUUUCGUCCAAUCCACCACCGUCCAGUGAAGGAAAUGUUCUGAGAAGAGAGAGGAGACCAGCAGGCUCAAGUAAAUGUUCCAAGCUGAAAUUAUCCCAUUAGUUAUUGAUGUUGAAUUCUUUGCAAAAUCAGCCCUCCAGUUACUUAACACGA